ACAUUCAAGUCUUGAGUUUAUUCAAGUAAAAUAAGAAAAGGACAAAACAACAUCAAGGUGUAUCUGUUAGAAAUCAUCAAUGACAUCACAUCAACUCACAAGUAUCACAGUAGGAUAGAAAUUAACACUUGGUAGAAUAUAUAACUUAAACAUCCAUGGUGGAGACAUUAACACUUGGUAGAAUAUAUAACUUAAACAUCCAUGGUGGAGACAUUAACACUUGGUAGACUAUAUAACUUAAACAUCCAUGGUGGAGACAUUAACACUUGGUAGACUAUAUAACUUAAACAUCCAUGGUGGUGACAUUAACACUUGGUAGACUAUAUAACUUAAACAUCCAUGGUGGUGACAUUAACACUUGGUAGACUAUAUAACUUAAACAUCCAUGGUGGAGACAUUAACACUUGGUAGACUAUAUAACUUAAACAUCCAUGGUGGUGACAUUAACACUUGGUAGAAUAUAUAACUUAAACAUCCAUGGUGGAGACAUUAACACUUGGUAGACUAUAUAACUUAAACAUCCAUGGUGGAGACAUUAACACUUGGUAGACUAUAUAACUUAAACAUCCAUGGUGGAGACAUUAACACUUGGUAGACUAUAUAACUUAAACAUCCAUGGUGGUGACAUUAACACUUGGUAGACUAUAUAACUUAAACAUCCCUGGUGGAGACAUUAACUUUUUCAUAAUGUUUCCAAAUUGAUUGUUUUUUCUAGAAGCAUCUACCAGCUUGUUGUUGUUGUCAUGAUUGUUCCUGUUGGGUAGCAACUUCACCAGCUUGUUGUUGUUGUCAUGGCUGUUCCUGUUGGGUAGCAACUUCACCAGCUUGUUGUUGUUGUCAUGGUUGUUCCUGUUGGGUAGCAACUUCACCAGCUUGUUGUUGUUGUCAUGGCUGUUCCUGUUGGGUAGCAACUUCACCAGCUUGUUGUUGUUGUCAUGGCUGUUCCUGUUGGGUAGUAACUUCACCAGCUUGUUGUUGUUGUUCUGAAGCAUCUUGUGUGAUGUAGGUCUUGUGGGGAGACGGUGAGAGAAGAUGGAUUCUAUUCACAUGCUGUCCAGCUUCUGAAUAACGUAUGGUGCUAGAAUGGAGAGGAGAUCAGUAAACAACAGAACGUAUGGUGCUAGAAUGGAGAGGAGAUCAG
rnacentral:lncRNA from 1 species